rnacentral:rRNA from 1 species
CCUACGGGAGGCAGCAGUCGAGAAUCAUUCACAAUGGGGGAAACCCUGAUGGUGCGACGCCGCGUGGGGGAAUGAGGGUCUUCGGAUUUUAAACCCCUGUCAUGUGGGAGCAAAUUACAAUGAUAGUGCCACAAGCGGCAGCGACCGCUAACUCUGUGCCAGCAGCCGCGGUAAGACAGAGGUCGCAAGCGUUGUUCGGAGUCACUGGGGGGAAAGGGUGCGUAGGCUGUUGCGUAAGUCGUGAGUGAAAGGCGCGGGCUCAACCCGCGGACGGCACAUGAAACUGCGAGACUAGAGUGAAGGAGGGGGAAGCGGAAUUCUCAGUGUAGCAGUGAAAUGCGUAGAUAUCGGGAGGAACACUCGUGGCGAAGGCGGCUUUCUGGACUGUAACUGACACUGAGGUACGAAAGCGUGGGGAGCAAACAGGAUUAGAUACCCGAGUAGUC